GAGGGAAAGCUGCGCAGCGCCCCUCCAGCAAAGCGGGAGGAGAUAUGGAAGGGGCUCCGUUUUUCCUGCCGCUUCGCUGAAGGGGCACUGCACGGAGAGUGAAAGCUGUGCAGCGCCCCUUCAGCAAAGCAGGGGAAGAAACGGAGCUCCUUCCAUUUCUCCUCCCGCUUUGCUGGAGAGGUGCUGCACAGAGAGGGAGAGAAUAUUUUUUUUCUUGUUCUCCUCCUCUAGAACUAGUUGCCUCU